rnacentral:rRNA from 1 species
UACGUAGGUGGCAAGCGUUAUCCGGAAUUAUUGGGCGUAAAGAGCGCGCAGGUGGUUGAUUAAGUCUGAUGUGAAAGCCAACGGCUUAACCGUGGAGGGUCAUUGGAAACUGGUCGACUUGAGUGCAGAAGAGGGAAGCGGAAUUCCAUGUGUAGCGGUGAAAUGCGUAGAGAUAUGGAGGAACACCAGUGGCGAAGGCGGCUUCCUGGUCUGUAACUGACACUGAGGCGCGAAAGCGUGGGGAGCAAACAGGAUUAGAUACCCCCGUA